rnacentral:rRNA from 1 species
GAGUACGGCCGCAAGGUUAAAACUCAAAUGAAUUGACGGGGGCCCGCACAAGCGGUGGAGCAUGUGGUUUAAUUCGAUGCAACGCGAAGAACCUUACCUGGUCUUGACAUCCACGGAAGUUUUCAGAGAUGAGAAUGUGCCUUCGGGAACCGUGAGACAGGUGCUGCAUGGCUGUCGUCAGCUCGUGUUGUGAAAUGUUGGGUUAAGUCCCGCAACGAGCGCAACCCUUAUCCUUUGUUGCCAGCGGUCCGGCCGGGAACUCAAAGGAGACUGCCAGUGAUAAACUGGAGGAAGGUGGGGAUGACGUCAAGUCAUCAUGGCCCUUACGACCAGGGCUACACACGUGCUACAAUGGCGCAUACAAAGAGAAGCGACCUCGCGAGAGCAAGCGGACCUCAUAAAGUGCGUCGUAGUCCGGAUUGGAGUCUGCAACUCGACUCCAUGAAGUCGGAAUCGCUAGUAAUCGUGGAUCAGAAUGCCACGGUGAAUACGUUCCCGGGCCUUGUACACACCGCCCGUCACACCAUGGGAGUGGGUUGCAAAAGAAGUAGGUAGCUUAACCUUCGGGAGGGCGCUUACCACUUUGUGAUUCAUGACUGGGGUGAAGUCGUAACAAGGUAACCGUAGGGGAACCUGCGGUUGGA